rnacentral:rRNA from 1 species
UACGUAGGGUGCAAGCGUUGUCCGGAAUUAUUGGGCGUAAAGCGCGUGUAGGCGGCUCGGUAAGUCUGCUGUGAAAGUCCAGGGCUCAACCCUGGAAUGCCGGUGGAUACUGUCGAGCUCGAGUCCGGAAGAGGCGAGUGGAAUUCCUGGUGUAGCGGUGAAAUGCGCAGAUAUCAGGAGGAACACCGGUGGCGAAGGCGGGUCUCUGGGCAACAACUGACGCUGAGGAGCGAAAGCGUGGGGAGCAAACAGG